AGAGUUUGAUCCUGGCUCAGAUUGAACGCUGGCGGCAUGCCUUACACAUGCAAGUCGAACGGUAACGCGGGGCAACCUGGCGACGAGUGGCGAACGGGUGAGUAAUACAUCGGAACGUGCCCAGUAGUGGGGGAUAGCCCGGCGAAAGCCGGAUUAAUACCGCAUACGACCUACGGGUGAAAGCGGGGGACCGCAAGGCCUCGCGCUAUUGGAGCGGCCGAUGUCAGAUUAGGUAGUUGGUGGGGUAAAGGCCUACCAAGCCUGCGAUCUGUAGCUGGUCUGAGAGGACGACCAGCCACACUGGGACUGAGACACGGCCCAGACUCCUACGGGAGGCAGCAGUGGGGAAUUUUGGACAAUGGGCGCAAGCCUGAUCCAGCCAUGCCGCGUGCGGGAAGAAGGCCUUCGGGUUGUAAACCGCUUUUGUCAGGGAAGAAAUCCUUUGGGCUAAUACCCUGAAGGGAUGACGGUACCUGAAGAAUAAGCACCGGCUAACUACGUGCCAGCAGCCGCGGUAAUACGUAGGGUGCAAGCGUUAAUCGGAAUUACUGGGCGUAAAGCGUGCGCAGG
rnacentral:rRNA from 1 species